rnacentral:misc_RNA from 1 species
CCGAGUUAGGGUCUUUACGGCCCGACCUCCAACCCUUUGUUUAUUAUACCAUGUUGCUUUGGCGGGCCUGCCUUUCGGGGCUGCCGGGGCAUUCCUGCCCCUGACCCGCGCCUGCCAGGAGCCUUCCUUAAAUUCUGUGUCAAACGAUGUUGUCUGAGUCCCAAUAUCAAAUGAUAA